rnacentral:misc_RNA from 1 species
UUUCAGGGUUAUUUUAAUGAUGCAGCUCUGAUGAGGAUGAGGGUUCCUGGUAUGCCACACAUCCAGGGGAGAUUUUCUACACCCAGAAACCUCAGUGAUUUCAUCUUGAGAUCAAACUUUGCAAGUACAGGUCUAACACAGAGACCCUUGGAAUUGAUGAUCUAGUGCAUUUUGAUUUUAUGGACCCUCCAGCGGUCCUGCUCCUCAAGCAUGAGUCCCUGAGCCACGCUUGCUCUCCACCAGUUGGUACAAUACAAAGUGCCAAUAUCUUCUUUCCAAUAUCUUCUUUCCAUACUUCCAUUAUUGCUACUUUGAUGUCCUAUACAAAGAAGCUUUUGAAGGACUACGACAUGCAGAUAUCGAGUGCUGCAGAAGUCUUUUAUUAUAUUGUAUAACCAAACCAAUUUUGAAAGAAAACAGACAUUCCUUCAAGAGUCCAUGGAGCCCUUGUCAAACUCGUUCUCAGAUACAUGCUUGUCAAGGAAUGCUUUUGCCAGAUUACUGAAGUUUACACUUAUUGCUUCUGCUGCAGCAUACCUCUUGAUGACAUCUAUAACUUCUGGCUUUAGAAUCUCUUCCUUGUUAGAUGAGUCACAAAGAUAGUAAAGAGCAGCAAUAGCAUAAUUAACUGUGUUUCUAACUGGGCUUGAUAAACAUUGGAUUAUAAGGGGUAUACUUCCACAUUGAGUGAUCAUUGCACCAUUUGAUGGAUCGGCACAAGAAUUGCAUAGACCCCCAAUCCCAAAUUCUACAAUCUUCUCAUUUGGCUCUGUUAUGCAAUCUAAGAAGAGUUCCAAAACAUUGAGCUGGCGUAAGAAUGCAUAAUUGUAAGGAUCAUAAGCAAAGUUUGCCAAGUUAGCAACAAUUCUCUCUUUGGUUUCUUCAUCUGUUGCACUCUGAAACUGGCUCACUAAUUCCUGAAGGUAUUGGAGCCUUGGAGUUCCAUAUUUUCCAGUUCGUUCUUCCUGCCUCAGAUUAUUUGUAAACAUUCCUUCUUGCGCAGAAAAUUAUUUGAGAAAUCUGAACCUUAAACUCUUUUCUUUGUUGAGAAAUCCCCCUACUUCUGUAAAACUUUCAAUGUGCUCUGAGAAACUUCCUUCACCCAAAACGAAGACAUAACUAUGUUGCUCCUUGGAGAAGCAGUGGAGACGGUGACCUUCGUUGGUGCUUAUUAGCUAUAGCUUGGUUAGGUUUUGUUUGGUGGUGGUUAUGGUCUAUGCAGCACCGUCCUCCGCCGGGAUAGCAAGGUGCAGGCAACAGGAGGGAGGGGGAUUGAGGGAUCAAAUCAG